CAUUAUACCGCGAAACUGCGAAUGGCUCAUUAAAUCAGUUAUCGUUUAUUUGAUAGUGCCUGUCCUACUUGGAUAACCGUGGUAAUUCUAGAGCUAAUACAUGCUAAAAAUCCCGACUUCGGAAGGGAUGCAUUUAUUGGAUACAGAACCAACGCCCUUCGGGGCUUCCUGGUGAAUCACAAUAACUCCGCGGAUCGCACGGCCUUGCGCCGGCGAUGGUUCAUUCAAAUUUCUGCCCUAUCAACUUUCGACGGCUGGGUCUUGGCCAGCCGUGGUGACAACGGGUAACGGAGGGUUAGGGCUUGACCCCGGAGAAGGAGCCUGAGAGACGGCUACUACAUCCAAGGAAGGCAGCAGGCGCGCAAAUUACCCAAUCCCGACUCGGGGAGGUAGUGACAAUAAAUACUGAUCCAGGGCUCUUUUGGGUCUUGGAAUUGGAAUGAGUACAAUUUAAAUCCCUUAACGAGGAACAAUUGGAGGGCAAGUCUGGUGCCAGCAGCCGCGGUAAUUCCAGCUCCAAUAGCGUAUAUUAAAGUUGUUGAGGUUAAAAAGCUCGUAGUUGAACCUUGGCCCUGGCUGGCCGGUCCGCCUCACCGCGAGCACUGGUCCGGCCGGGGCUUUCCCUCUGGGGACCCUCAUGCCCUUCACUGGGUGUGUUGGAGAACCAGGACUUUUACUGUGAACAAAUCAGAUCGCUCAAAGAAGGCUCUCGCUCGAAUGCUUCAGCAUGGAAUAAUAAAAUAGGACGUGCGGUUCUAUUUUGUUGGUUUCUAGGACCGCCGUAAUGAUUAAUAGGGACAGUCGGGGGUGUCAGUAUUCAAUCGUCAGAGGUGAAAUUCUUGGAUCGAUUGAAGACUAACUACUGCGAAAGCAUUCACCAAGGAUGUUUUCAUUAAUCAGGAACGAAAGUUAGGGGAUCGAAGACGAUCAGAUACCGUCGUAGUCUUAACCAUAAACUAUGCCGAUUAGGGAUCGGACGAUGUUAUUUUUUGACUCGUUCGGCACCUUACGAUAAAUCAAAAUGUU
rnacentral:rRNA from 1 species